GCACACUCGAGCGAAAGCCGGGGUCGCAAAGCUUCCGGUCUUCGGCGGGCGAACCAAGUUCACCCGCAACGACAGCGGGGUUGCA
rnacentral:ncRNA from 1 species